AUUGAACGCUGGCGGCAGGCCUAACACAUGCAAGUCGAACGUGUGGCGGACGGGUGUGUAAUGUCUGGGAAACUGCCUGUUGGAGGGGGAUAAUUACUGGAAACGGUAGCUAAUCCCGCUUACCAUCGGUUGUGCCCAGAUGGGCUUAGCUUGUUGGUGGGGUAACGGCUCACAAGGGCGACGCUCACUAGCCGGUCUGAGAGGGUGACCAGCCACACUGGAACGAAGACACGGUCCAGACUCCUCGGGGGGGCAGCGGUGGGGAAUAUUGGACAAGGGGGGAAGUCCUGAUGCGGCCAUGCCGCGUAUAUGAAGAGGGCCUUGGGGUGGUAAAGUACUUUCAGCGGGGAGGCGUUACCCGCAGAAGAAGCAACGGCUAACUCCGUGCCAGCAGCCGCGGUAAUAC
rnacentral:rRNA from 1 species